GGCCUAGUGUGGUGUAGUGGUUUGAGUGUUGCACUGUGACUCUGGAGACCAGAGUUCAAUUCUCAGCUUGGCCA